rnacentral:lncRNA from 1 species
AAAAGGGCUCCUGUUGCAUGCGGGAGCGGAGUGGAUGAUAGUAGUGGGGAGUUCAGUAAAGUGUGCUACAGACUCUCCUCCCGGGGAGCGGGACACGGGCAUACGAUAUUUAUUCUUGUUCAAACAGACGUGAGAGAAUGAGGCUUGCAACGUGGAAAUAAGUUUAUGGGCUCCUCAGAUAAAGCUGUAUCCGAAGCUGGUAGGCGUUCCCCUUAAGGUUCGGAGGUUACACACAGCAGUGUGUCACUACAAGGGCCGGACAGGCGCCGAGCACCUGUGGUUGAUGCGCCAUCUAAAGGACCCG